rnacentral:lncRNA from 1 species
AUGGCCUCCAGAAUGAAUCUCUCUGAAGAACAUGACACACAGAUAAAGACAGUCAAGAGUCUGUGUCAGAAUGAAUCUCCUGAACCCAGCUGUGUGUCCAUCAAGAGUGACCGGUCAAUGGGUCAACCAAUUCAUUUCAGCUCUGGAGACACAUCUGCUGAUCUGAGGUGCUGUGUAGUUUACAGUAUGAGAAAUAUGAUAUUCAUUAUAUUCUUUAAUUUACUGAUGUGUAUGCAUUACUACAUGUUUACAAAAAUAUUAAAUAUUUGUUUAACUACAGUCAAAAACAUAAAGGACGAGAAUCACAUACAGCAAAGAAGAAAUUAGACUCCAUUUUCAAGGUUGGUUUUGUGUGUGUGUGUGUCUGUGUGUGUGGUGUGUGUCCAUCCAACACAAUGACCCUCUGGGUAAAAGUACUAAAUGUUAA